rnacentral:sRNA from 1 species
CAGACAGCCCUGGAGAGUGAAGCCUCCUAUUUAUUCACAGAACACGUACAGCAGCAACUCAAGUUUCCCAACACUUCCCUGCCAAUGUCCCUCUUCCCUGUCCUAGAGGGACCCCUUAUUGGGCUAAAAGGGGAAUUUACUUUCCCAUCCAAUUCUUUGCCUCUGCUGAC